CUCACCUGUCCCUCACCUGUCCCACCCCUCACCUGUCCCUCACCUGUCCCACCCCUCACCUGUCCCUCACCUGUCCAUCUCUCACCUGCAGCCCCUCACCUGUCUGUCCCCACCCCCUCUCCGGAGCCCCUCCAGGUGCGCCUGGCCGCGGGGCCGGGCAGGUGUGCGGGCCGUGUGGAGGUGUUACACCUGGGCAGGUGGGGCACGGUGUGCGACGACACCUGGGACCUGCAGGCGGCCCGGGUCACCUGCCGGCACCUGGGCUGCGGCCCCGCCCUCAGCGCACCUGGCGGCGCCCGCUUCGGGCCCGGCCGCGACCCCGUGUGGCUGGACCAGGUGCGCUGCUCAGGUGAGGAGCUCACCUUGGACAGGUGUGAGCUGCGCCAGUGGGGGGAGCACGACUGCGGCCACGAGGAGGACGCGGGGGUGGUGUGUGCAGGUGAGUCCUGACAGGUGUGUGCAGGUGUGUGCAGGUGAGUCCUGCAGGUGUGCUCAGGUGUGCUCAGGGGAGCCCCAC
ensembl:lncRNA